CUCUACUUUCUUCCCCAAGCCAUUCCAGAUACCCUGCUCGGUGCCCCCUUCCAGUCCCCAAGUGCUCCGUCGCCAUUCCGAAGCUAGCCCCAUCCAAACUAGCCUAGCAUUUCCGAAGGGUCCUAACUAGCCCCGUCCGAACUCGCCUAGCCUUUCCGCCACACUGUCCAUCUUCUUCAAAAUUUUCAGUUCUUCCUCAGACAAAGGAAGCUGCCUGCCACCAGUCACGGAUCGCCCCGACGUCGCUGCCAACCCCGUCGUUUCAAGUCAGCCCCUGCCCGCUUACAAAAUAAGAACAGAAAAGGAUAAUAGCAGGAGAGUGGCAUCAACAUUGUUUCCUUCUUUGAGUUCCCUUUUGCAGAGGAAAAAAAAGAUCACGAGAAUAUGGAUGGGAGUGGGGGAGCUUUCCCUGCAAAUUUCCCAUACCCGUUGACAACUCUAGUUGCAUAGGCUGAUUGCUCAUUCUCAAAAUCUCUAUAAAUUUGAGGACAGCUUCAAAUCAUCCAAAAACCCUUUAAAAGUGUUGUGUUCCUUCUCCUUUUCCUU